CUGGGCAAAGCAGGAAGAUUAUUCUUUUUUUAUAUAUAUAUAUAACUUUUGUUUUUUUCUAUCAUUCUCCUACUUUCCAGCAGCUGGGGACCUGUAGCAACUCUCUGACAUCUAAUUCUUUUCCCUAACAUUAAUUCCCUCUCUCCAAGAACUGAAAAAAAGAUUGAUCCUCCCUACUUUUUUGUGUAAUGAUUUAUUUACUGUAUAACAUUUUUUUUUCUCUGCUGUUGCCCUGAUUUGCAUGCUGAGUACCCCUGCAACUCAGUAGGGGAUGUGCUAAAUAAUUUACAUCUUUAAACCAAGUCCCUUAUACAUUCUCUUUUUUUUUAUUCAUUUUGCCAGAUGACUGUCAUCGCAGUCCUAUUCUUCUUGUGUCAGUGUGAUGUCCAUCUCUCGUCUUCUCCGUUUUAAUAUUCUCAGAGAGUUUUCACAGGCUCUCUGCUCUGAAUGCAUGAAGUGUAAGAGGGAAGGAAUGACAGCAGCUAAGAACAACCGUUAAAGCAGGAACAAACUGGAAAUAAUCUUCUUUCUUCUCUUUGCUCUCUGGUUUGUGCUGUCUGUCUUUUGUUGUUCCCCUGUGCUCACUCCUUCACCUCAUUAACCAACACUUUGAUUGUCUCUCUUUGUUUCUUUCUCCCCUGUCUCCUCAGAUCCCAAUGCGCUGGGGCAGCAUGGCACCGACCAUGCCUUGAUUGGAGGAGUGGUGGCUGUAGUGGUCUUUGUCACCUUGUGUUUAAUCAUUGUUCUGGGAAGAUACCUGGCCAGGCAUAAAGGAACAUACUUGACGAACGAAGCCAAAGGAGCGGACGACGCGCCCGAUGCCGACACAGCCAUCAUCAACGCUGAAGGCAACCACGCACACGCAGAAGAAAAGAAGGAAUACUUCAUUUAGACUGCAUAGGGAGCUGUGCUGCUCUCUACCUUUUCUUUCAGUCCCUCUAUUUCUUAUAGUCUCUCUCUCUCUCUUUCUGUCCCCCACUUUCGUCUUCACCUGUGGCCACUGCCCCCCUUGAGUCAACACAGCCCGCAGGCAGAGAUGUUCCCCGAGCUUUUUAUUAUUAUUAUGUCCUCUGGUUCAGCAUUUUCCUGUAUUACAUUUUACCGUUUUUUUGGGGGGUGGGGGGGUUGUCCUUUUUGGGAGAUUUUUUUUAUCUUCCACAUGCAGUUUGAUGCUGCUCCUGAAGCUCUGCCCAUUCUCAUGUUUUUUGCUCGUCUAGUGACACGAACUCCUGGAAAUCUAUAUCUCUGCCAUGGCUGCUUCUUACAUGACCUCUUGUUCACCCUCUUUCCUGUUUCCCACCAAGCAGACACGCUGCCACACGUUGUAUCUCAUGCCCCCCUCACAUAUCUAACGUCAACACGGUGCCUAAAAAUACAGACGCCAUCGAACUUCUUUCAAUGCCUUCAUGUGUCGCCUGUCGGUAGCAAUGUAAAUGCUAUAUGUAGCUCAUUUCAUUGCUUAGUUCACAGCUUUUAAUUAUACAUUGCGUCCUUUUUUAUUUGAAUGAUCUGUGCUGUUUACGCCUUAUACGUGUCUAUCACACUGAAUAUGGUACUUUUAGAUGAACCACUGCGCCUGACCCUCCCAUCCCCUCUGAAUAAACUUGUAAUUAAGCAGUGGACCCUUGUAAGAUAAGACGAAGGUUUUGUGUAACACUGUAGCAAGGUCCGUCAGAUAAGUGUAUAAUAUGAUUUUCACUAUUAGGGUAGGAGUAAUAAGGGUUAGCACGGUGUUGUUUAGAGCAAAGACCCACCAAAAAUAUUUGAAAGAGUAGAUGUGGCUUUUUGCUAAAUCUGCUGUCCCUGUGUACUUUACUCUGUACAUCCCUGCACCGUGCAGACAGCAGCUUAGUGAAACAUGUUAAACCCUAUCUGGACAGCUUACAGUAGUCUGUGUUUUACAUUAACGGUUCAGAUGUACAGAAAGAAAUCUCCACGUCUCAAAAUCUGUAAAAAUUGUAUUGAAAUUCUUUUCACUUUUCACAUUUUAAUAAUUUACUUUCUGUUCAUAUCAUAAUAAAGUCAUUUUGCAGCUAAAAGGCCUCAUGAAAUAUACAGUGAACAAUUUAAGGUUUCUGUAAUAGCAAAAUAAAACCGUAGCAGUGUGUAGAUUUGAGGAUAACACCUCAAAUCUGUAGUUUGAGGUAUUGGGGCAUCGAUAGAUUGAGGUACAGGCAGAAAAGAUAACAUAUUUUGACUAUGUGGGAUACGCUAAUGGACGUCUCUCCAUUGGUUUUCAUCAUAAACAGCUGUAGCACUGGCUGUAAAUCAGUUGUAGUGUCCACCUUUAAUCUUUAGGUUUCAAUUCAAAUAUUCACAUCAUCAGGGUAGAGGUUUUGAUGAUCCAACACGUUGUCUUUUGGUUAAAAGAUGGCUACUAGUUUGCUAGUUCGUCUCAUUUGAUUCAAAGAUUGUACCAUAAAGUUGAUCUAAAACAAAAAGACAGCAGCCUUUCACUUGUGAAUAAUAAAUCCUGUAAUAUAGGAGACAACGAUUUGCAGGAAAAAGCAGUAAUGCACUCCCAUUACUUGCGUCGGUGAGGUCAUCUGGACUUGUGGCUCAUCCUCUAAAACAAGCAUUCUCUUACCUUGCUCAUAUUCUUGAAAUUUAGCCUUGUGGAAAACUGAAGAACAUUAUCAGUUCUUAGUAGGUAACUGAUAAUGAAGUUUGGACUGCCACUGUACAAGUUAUGUUUCACUAGUUUUUAAAGAGCAAACUUAAACUGCAUUAGUCAGUCUUUUUAUUUCCCAUUUAGUCAGUCACCGUUCCAUUUCAUGAGGUCUGAAAGUAAAAAAAUGAAAUUGGAGAGAAAUGUUGAGAGUGCUGGCUAAUACAUCUGCUUGGGUCCCAUUUCCAAAAUGUAAAAACUGGAGGCAAACAGAAAAGCACAAAAUUUGACAGAAUGAGUUACUGUGUUCCUUUGCCAACAACUAAAUUGCCUUGGGAACGAUUCUUUUAAUCUAAAAGGUAAUGGAAAGAUGAAAGUGCAUCUUUUUGAAAAUGUAAGCUAAGUAAUUUUUUUAUAUUAAAAAACUCUAAUAUUGUUGGUUUAAACUGUAUCCCAUUCCCUGUUAUAUAUUGUGUCUGCUAAAAUGUGGUUGACUGUAAAAAAAAAAAAAAUUGCUGUUAAAUUCUGGACUCCUGUAUUCCUUCAAAUGUAUAUUUGCCACUAUUACUUUCAUUUAUAAGACUUUUAAAAAAUUCUGUUUUGUUUUUGUGCAAAGCAUGUACAUAAUGUGUAAGAACAACACUUUGGUACUACACAUUAGCAUGAUUUUUGUUCUUUCUUUUUUUACUUUUAAUUUAUUUAAACUAAAGUUAUUGACCAGAGAAUCACAACGGAAGUACAUUGUUUUGGUACUGCAGGUCUGAAGAAUAAAAUAUUACAAUAACAGUCAAGCUUAAUGAUAAGUCAUAUAAAUAUUGGCACAAAUUGAUGUUAAAACGGCUAUUUAUACGUAACAACAAAAUAAAAUAUAUAAUUGCUUAUAUACCCAUUGCCCAAAAUGAAAACUACAACAUAUUUCAAGAGGAAUCAGCUAAAAUGUUACCUUUAUGUUGGUGGCAAAAAAAUAAUGAUACUCAUUUGAUACUCACUGACCACUUUAUUAGGUGUACUUGUUUAUUCAGUUAACACAAAUACUGCAUAUUCACAUAUACCACAUGGCAAAACUUCUAAACACUUAGAUGUCUUUACAUUGUGAAGACGUCUUUUUGAAGUUCAAACCUAGCAUCAGAAUGAGCAAGAACAUUUUAAUUAGUUUGAACGUGGGGUGGUUGCUGGUGUCAGAUAGGCUGGUCUAAGUAUUUUAGAAAUUGUUGAUCUACAGAGAUUGUCAUACUCAACUUACUGAAUAUUUUGAAAAUGAUUUGCAAAUAGUAUCAUUUGUGUGGAAAAAAAGAUCCCGUCGAUAUCGGUGCAUGGAAAUGAAUGAACAGACUAAUUUGAUAUAGUAGAAAAGCAAAAGUUGCCCAAAUAAUCAGGAAUGCAGAAUAAUAUCUCUGAACACUCAACAUGUUGAGCUUCAAACUUAGAACAGAUGGGCUACAGCAGCAGAAUCCCACACUGGGUUCCACUCCUGUCAGCUAAGAGCUCAAAACUGUGGCUAGAAAUCACAGCUUCACCAAAAUUGGACAAUGGGAGAUUGGAUUGCCUGGUCCAGCAAAUCUCAAUUGCAAUUGCAGUAUUGAGAUGGUAGGAUCAGAAUUGCAUCAAACAACAUGAAAACCAUAGACCUAUUCUGCCUUGCAUUAACAGCUCCGACUGCUGCUGGUAUAAUGUUAUGGGGAUACUUUUUCUUUUCCUCCAUCAAUUCUGUUUUUGUAUUGAUUUAAAGGAGUUUGACUGACUUAGUCUCCUGGAAAAGUGUGAUAAAAACCAACAGCAGUAAUCUACUUGGAUGAAGCAAAUUAUUACCAAGGGCAAUAAAAAAGUAGGCCCUGCUGUCUCCAGUUUCAUGGCCAGUUUACAACUUUAUGCAAACAUGGUUGAAUGGCAAACUGUCUUGCUCUGUACGGCAAUGUUGGACUUCAUAACUGGAGAGAAUCACAUGUUAGAAAUCCUUAGAUCAAUAUCAGCAUAAUUUUUUUCUUGUCACAGUGUAUGUAGGGAUAAAUAUAUUUUUUUUAGGUAUUGUUGAUUAGCACAAUUUUGUUGUUUCACACGUUUGUGCACUUCAACCUUCACCACACGGUUAACAGAUUUAACUUUGUUUUAAAAAGCUCUUGCGGUUAUCUGCCACUCUUUUGCAGAAAAAAUCUUUUAGAUAUAAUGCUCACAUUUUCUGUUGCAUUCCAUCUGUGUACCCAUCUUAGAAAUGAGAAAAGUUAGGACAUGAUAUUUAACAAAAGGUCUGCAGUGAUGAGUUGGUGUUGGCAUUGGAAAAGAAAAGGUGCCAUUUACUGAAUUAUGCACUCUGGCCAUUACAAUUUGAUGGAUAUUUCUUAGUAAAUGUUAAAAUGUGUGUGGGUUUUUUUUUCUUUAGAAACCAACUGUAAAUAUUUGGUUUGAAAUGAAAGUACUGAGUUGAUUUAUUGCAAUGGCUUUUUAUAAUCAAUAGACCAAACUUAAAUCUUGUUCAAUUUUGUUUUGAUUUUUUUUUUUUUGUUUGUUUUUUUUUUUUCUAACAGCUUCGCUCAUGCCACCAUUCACUCCUUUAUUAUACAGAUCCAAUUGUAGCUGGUCCUUUUUUAAUUUCUUCUUUUUUUUUCCUCAUGUUUAACGUUAGUUGAAGAACCUAAGCUUUAAAAAAAAAAAACUAAUUACCCAUUUUAUGUCAGUUUGGUAAGCAAGAUUAUGAGCUUAAAACUCCAUUCUUAAAAUCACAAACUUGUACGAUUGCAAUGCCAUGUUCUUUAAGCGACAGGCUAUUUCUGUCAUUUUUGGUUCUCUAAUUUCCUGGUUUAUAGCAACCCCGUUUUCUUCCGCUGAAGGUGUGCUCGGUGCGGGUGAGGUUGUGCAUUUAUGCAGAUUAAGCAGCACAAUCCUGGCUGCAAUUUUGGCAGGAAAUUGCUCGCAAUUUUAUGACCAAUUUUCACGUUGGCUGGGACGUCUACACACCAGUGCAAAUUUGCAAAAAAAAACACCCUUUUUACCUCUUUUGCUACAGGUCAUGUUGUCUAUAGCCUGCACAGAUUUACAGCCAGGUACAAAAAAGCUGUUUGCCUGAAGUUAAAGAAUUAGAUGAGUUAUCCCAGCAUUAUUUUAUCCACCAGCUGAGAAUUGUCUGUCAAAUAAUCAAACCUGGAGCAGAAUAAUGUUUGCCUGUUUCUGUGUGGGCUUGUAAAAUACACCGGAAAAGGACAAGUUACUCUCUAUUAAAGAGCAGAUGCAGAAUUGUGUUUUGUAAAGAAACUUCAGUCUGCAAAACUGGACAUUAUGAUAAAUGAGCUAGCUCUUUAUUAUUUAUCUGUAUCCGCUUCCUGCCUACCUGCUUCUUUUAUGCAUUGGAUGAAAGCUAAUGUGUUUUUAAAGGGUAAUUUGGCAUUUUUGAAGAGAUGUUUGUGGAUGUUACUAUCAGUAACAGCCCCCAUACCUGUACCAGAUUGAUGUCGUUGGCAAACAAGUUUUCAGAGCAAUGGAAGGACAACAUUUAGUCACACAGUAUGCUUUAGCUAUUUAAGAUCACCCAAAAUAUUUUUUUUUUUUGCAUUUUAGUAAGAUCAGUGCAUACUAAUUAGAUGCAGUUUCACAGUAUCGUCUCUAUUUUAUCAACCAAACAGCUUUCCCGUUGCGACACUGACGUUAUAUUAGUGUAAUCAUUACUAAUUGCUAAAAUAAUGGCCCAUCUUCAGUGUGAGUUCUUAUAAAUUGGUCUAAUUGGUUAAAAUUUUAAGUUUUAAUUUUAACUUAACUUUUAGCAGAACACCACAAGACGGACGUUGGUCUGCUGCAGGUAGGGGAACUAGCACUAACAAUAAUUUCACAGAACGACACAUAAGGAAAUCUGAACUAUCCCUUUAAAAACAUUGCAUUGUUACUGGAGCAAAUCACAUUCUCUUUCUCAAAGUCCCCGCCAUUAUGUAGAUUCGACUCGUAAGCAGUAUAUUGAAUGUUCAUAUUAAUGGAAAAUGUUAUCAAGUCACUAAAGGUUGAGGUGAAAAUGAUAUCUGUUCUGGCUUAGAAUCUGCUUUGUUGACUGGUUUUAAAUAAUUCAGGAUUUUGUUUUGACACAGUUUCCGUGCCCUGUCUGGUUCUCCACAUGCCUUUGCUGUACAGUUUACCUUCAAUCCAGCUCUUUGUUCCUCCUGAAAUAUCAACGCAGACGUCAAUCAGCGCAGUUUCAAUAUCGCCGCAUUGAUCACGUGUGACACAAUCGCAUGUAGUGAUGUGCUGUUAUUUUUAUCAGUUUUGUUUCUUUUGCAUCUCAGGAAUAUAUUUCAUUUAGGAUUUCUUUCCUUUUUUUUUUCUUUUUUUUUUGGUGGUUUCCUGUUUUAAAAUGGGGACAUGUGAGCACUUAUCACUCUACUCGUCCCUGUAUGCUGACACCAUGUAUUUGUUUAAGAUUACCACGAUGUUAAUAAAAUUAUUCAGUGAUUCUUCAGUAA